rnacentral:lncRNA from 13 species
GUACAGAGCCUGUGUGACCGUAGAGCUUCUAUGUCUACAAGCCGGCCUCACACACAGCUGACAUCCUGCCAGGAGACCGCUACAUUCCAGGGUUCCAAGAGAGGAUAUUAAUACAUGAACUAUGAACAGAGAGAAUCAGAAUGGCAGAUAGAGGAGCAUCUGAGCAAAGAAAGGAGAAAGGAAGAAAAGAGAGUCAGCAUGCCUUACAAAAUUAUUAAAACAUGGAAAAAGAAGUAUCUGGUACAGCAAAAUCCAUCAAAUAAGCACACGCAGGUCACAAAAGCGUGGAGGGGCUCGUUCUCCUGCAAUUCAGGAAUGAGGGAAAAGUAUCAGGAAAAGAAAAUACAGUUUUCUUACAGUUAGACUGGGCUUACAGUCUAAGGGGAAGAACUCUACAAAAA